AUCUUCUUAGUAUUAAAUAGUACAAGUGACUUCCACUCACACGGUCUCGGUUCAAGCCCGAGAGAAGAUA
rnacentral:tRNA from 1 species